AUAUGAUCCUCAGCUGUUGAUGUACGCUGUAUACUAUAUAUUCUACUAGUAUUCUGUUUUCAUGCUCUCUUGCCA
rnacentral:rRNA from 1 species